UACGUAGGGGGCAAGCGUUGUCCGGAUUUAUUGGGCGUAAAGAGCGUGUAGGCGGCUUUACAGGUCCGUUGUGAAAACUCGAGGCUCAACCUCGAGACGCCGGUGGAAACCGUAAAGCUAGAGUCCGGAAGAGGAGAGUGGAAUUCCUGGUGUAGCGGUGAAAUGCGCAGAUAUCAGGAGGAACACCCGUGGCGAAAGCGGCUCUCUGGGCCUUGCCUGACGCUGAGGCGCGAAAGCUAGGGGAGCGAACAGG
rnacentral:rRNA from 1 species